rnacentral:rRNA from 1 species
AAGAAAGUAAGUAAGGGCGCAUGGCGGAUGCCUUGGCUCUCAGAGGCGAUGAAGGACGUGAUAAGCUGCGAUAAGCUUCGGGUAGGUGCAAAUAACCUUUUAUCCGGAGAUUUCCGAAUGGGGCAACCCAGUGUUAUGAAGUAACAUUAUUCCUGCUUGCAGGAAAGCUAACCCAGUGAACUGAAACAUCUAAGUAACUGGAGGAAUAGAAAACAAUAGUGAUUCCCUUAGUAGCGGCGAGCGAAAGGGGAAUAGCCCAAAUCUCAGCGGUUUCGGCCGUUGAGAGGUUGUAGGACUGCAUUG